UCUGCGAUUUCCGAAUGGGGAAACCCAACUGCAUAAGCAGUUACUGUUAACUGAAUACAUAGGUUAACAGAGCAAACCGGGGGAACUGAAACAUCUAAGUACCCCGAGGAGAAGAAAUCAACCGAGAUUCCGGUAGUAGCGGCGAGCGAACCUGGAUUAGCCCUUAAGCACUCGGUGAAGUAGGUGAACAAGCUGGAAAGCUUGGCGAUACAGGGUGAUAGCCCCGUAACCGACGCUUCAUCGAGCGUGAAAUCGAGUAGGGCGGGACACGUGAUAUCCUGUCUGAAUAUGGGGGGACCAUCCUCCAAGGCUAAAUACUCCUGACUGACCGAUAGUGAACCAGUACCGUGAGGGAAAGGCGAAAAGAACCCCUGUGAGGGGAGUGAAAUAGAACCUGAAACCGUGUACGUACAAGCAGUAGGAGCACCUUCGUGGUGUGACUGCGUACCUUUU
rnacentral:rRNA from 1 species